rnacentral:lncRNA from 1 species
AAACAUAUAUAGAGCAUUAAUUGCUAAUUAACAAUUGUUAAAAGCUGAAAACAAAAAAAAUAUAUCAGCCAAUCCUUGAGCCAAACACACCCCUAGUUGAACUACUUGUAUCAAAAUCAGUUGAUGAAGUUGAGCCUAGCUGAGGUCCGUCGGCAAUAUCAACACAUUGGGCAGGGAAAAAAGAUACAUCAGGAUGGACUAUUUCACCAUCAGGACUGAUUCCCAUAUUCUCAGCUUCUGCAUCCUCUUGCAGCUUCAGUGCAAACUCAAGUUCUUCCAUAACAUCUCUUAUAUUGGGCCGUUCAAUGCCUUUGCUAUGAAUGCAACUGAAUGCGAUCUCCACAAAUUUUUUGAAACACCGUGGAGCUAUCUUCCCCUUCAAAUAAGGAUCAAUUAUUUGAUAAAUGUUUCCAUUUUGAAUGCAUUUUUCAGCCCAGAUGGCUAAGCUCAUAUGUUCUUCCACCAAAUUUCGAUCAAGCGGCUUCAGAGCACACAAGACUUCCAAUAAUACUAGACCAAAUGAGUACACAUCAGAUUUUUCUGUUAAUAUUUGGUAUCUUGCAUAUUCUGGAUCUAAAUAACCCCAAGUUCCCUUCACUAUAGUAGUACUGACCUCCUGUUUGAAAGCUGCUUUGGAUAAUCCGAAAUCUGAAACUUUUGCAAUCCAGUUUUCGUCUAGCAAAAUAUUAGUUGUCUUCACGUCUCGAUGGAUAAUGGUAUGCGUGAACUCGGAAUGAAGAUAAUGCAAUCCGCGUGCUGCACCUAUGCAUAUGUGAAGCCUUUUUUUCCACGGAAGAGGAUCAUUGUUUGUUUCAUGUAAAUGUUCUCCAAGUGUGCCGUUGAUAAGGUAAUCAUAGAUGAGAAUCAUUUCACCUUCAUCAAUGCAAUAUCCGAUCAAAGAUACAAGAUUGACAUGGCGGACUUGUGACAACAUCUCUAUUUCUGUCGUGAAUUCGCGAGUCCCUUGCUUUGAUGUGAAUCUAGCCGUUUGAUAGCGACUGUGAUGGAUUCAUUAUCUAUGUAUCCUUUAUAUACAUUACCAAAUCCUCCAGAACCUAUAAAGUUUUGAUCGUCAAAAUUUCUGGUAGCUUCUUUGAUUUCGAGAAUCGUAAAUCUACGGCAACGCUCUGUUGGCAGUGGUGAAGCAAUUGUCGUGGACUUAUUAGAUUUGUACGAAAAUGGGGCCCGACAAGAAAUGUGGUCGAUCGUAGCAGAGUCCUUAGCUUUCCUUCUUCUUUGAUAGGCUAAGAGACAUAGAAUUAAAGAGAAUAUGCCACCAAAGACAGCUACAUUAAUGAUCAAAACCUGUGAUGCUAGUCUGCUCCUUCGUUUUUGUUUUAAACUUGGAUGUUGAUCUGGUUCUGGAGGAACUCGAAUUGGUUCAGGGUUGGGUCCUGCUAGACUACCUUCUGAAUUGUUCAACUUGAAUAUUUCCAAACCAUUCAAGAUCGCGUCAGCAAACUCAGUCUCAUUAGAUGGGUGUAAAGCGAGCCACAAGUCCUGCUUUCUAGGGACUCCAGCUGGAACCCAUACAACGUAGUCUUUGUACACUGGAAAACCGUUACCACCGCUCCAGAGGAUCACAUCUGCUUGAGCUACCACUGUUUGAUUAUUGAUGAAUAUGGAGAAUAUCAGUUGAAACUCACCGGUAACCUCUAGUCGAGUCUCACAAAAGUGGAGACGAACAAGAUAGUUGAAUCCAGUAUCAACGGGGAAUAACCAAGUGAGAUUGUAGUUAAUGUUAACAUUUGCAUUAGGACCCAUUGAACGCAUACUACUAUAUACCAAUUCAGGAGCAACCCAAGCCGGAGUACUCUUUGUAUAAUUUAUCUUAACCUUAGAAAUAGACGUCACUCCAAAUGCAGCUCCAAAAAUGUAAUUAGAGUCUUCAACCCAUUUCCUGUACAUUCCGGUGUCACCUGAACCGUCAAUAUCCCGUCCCCCAACAUUUAACCGAUAAACAGUCUCAAGAGCGGUUGUAUCAUCCAAAUAGAAGGGAUAGUCAAUGCCAACAUUUGUCAGCAGGCUAUCAUUUCCGUGUAUAUAGAGACUGUCUGGCAUGGAAACGAUUUCAAUACCAUUUAUGAAGGCAAAAGAUUUCAGAGAUGGAUUAAAAGUUAUGUUAAGCAUCUGUUUUUCCUGAAUAGUAACGACAAACUCUUUCACAAUGGCAGCAGCUGGAGGCUGCAUGGCUGAAACCGUAAGAAAAGCGCUAAAGUUGCUUAGAAGUGUGUAGUCAUUGGCUUCAACGGAGAAGAAGGAUUUGGAGAUAUCAAGAUUGGAGUAAGCAACAGGAUAGAAGUAGAGACGAACAAAUUUUGAGCCAGGUGAGACAGGAAAGCUGUAGGUGAAUUUGGAUAGAAAAAUACGAGCUGUCAUGUAAGGGACUUGGGUCACAGAUGUAUCUUGCCCGGAGGCUUUGAAAGCAAAUGAUGAGUUCAGAGAGAUAGAGGCACCGAAUUUGGAUCGGGCAUCGCUAACCCAAUUUCGGCCGUCGGGUGAUGUUGUGAGAGAGGACGCACCACAGCUGAGAAGGAUAAUUUCUGUUGGAGUAUAUGGCGGCAAGCUGUGAACGGCGGUGAUGUAAGGGAGAAGGAUUAUGAAGAGAGAUGCAAGAGAAAUUAAUUUUGUCAAGAUAAGAGAGAUAGAGAACAAAGAAAAAAGUGAGGCAAUUAUGAAGCCCAUGGAUAGUGUGAAAUUUAAUAUCUUUUAGAUCCAACUAUUUGUUUAUGGCGAUCGGCAACGAUAGGAAUAAAGGAAAGAAGUUUACAACAACUUUCCAUUAAAAAAAAAUGGAAAUUAAAUUUUCCAAUGGAAAUUUCAUGUAAACUUCUUGUUUUGAAGAACUGUUAAUUGUUAACUUAAGAAGCAUUUUUGGGAGUAAACAAAGACUUGAACAAGUCUUCAAUAUUGACAAGUUUUGGCACUAUCAUUUAAUCAAGGGGUACGUGCUCAGAAAGUAAGGGGCUGACCGUAAGGUCUUAUUGUGGUUGGACAAAAUAUGUAACAUCUACAAAGCGGGUCGGGCAAGAAGACUUCUAGUAUGUAGAAAGUCAUCCAUAGGACUUUAAAAAGACCUUGUUGAUUACAAAUUAAAUAAAGAACUGCGGAACACCUGGUGAAUAGAAUAGCUAUAACGACAAUGACAACAAAAUAGUAUAAUUAUACCCUUCACAAACAGAGCAAUGCAGAUCUUAAGAAGUUGGAUUAAUUAUAUCAUUGGAGAGAUCCAUAUCAAACUAUUAAUUAUAUUAAUGAAACCUAGAUAGUUCAUUAUUCAGAAAUAGCAUAAUUACAUAGAAAUGCUUAAAUUUUUAGAAAAUAUUCAAACUAGCAGAAUAGAGCAGCGGUAAUGAUCUUAGUCUCCAUAUUUAUCCAAUUGCAAUUCUUUCAAACAACUAAAAACCCAGUAACCGGGAAACAACAUUUUUAAGAAACAAAAAAGCGAGCAGGUCUUGUUGUCUAUAAUAGCACAUUGUCGAGUAUAAACAAAUUUUGUCCAUUCUUAUUGUAACUACAAAUUGGAAAAAGAUCAUCAGCAUUCUUAUAGUAACUAAAACCAUGCAAAAUUUGAUAGACUGUAAUAAGCAUACCAGAGGCUUAAAUCCAUUGGACUUAACUACAAUUUUCAUCUUCCCAUUGGAUUCAUAAUUUCCGAAAAUACAGACUUAGACUUAAAUCCAUCAGGAUCAAGUUUAGCAGCACUCCCUUCACCACUGCUAACUGUGCUCUUGGAGUCCUCCUUUUGUUCGCCUGAAACGCUAAAUAUAUCAUCAUCAUCAGUAGUUACAACAGCUUCCCCACGCAACAACAAUGGACUUUCCUGCUCUUCACCCACACUCUCAACACUACUAUUUCUACUCUUCUCUGCCGUCUCUUGAAGCUGCAAUGCUAACUCCAGCUCACAUAUCACGCCGCUCAUUGCCGGUCUUUGUGCUCCAUUGUCACGCAAACAGCUCUCCGCAAUCUCUCCAAAUUUCUCCAAACAGGCAGGAUCAGCAUCACCUCUCAAGUGCGGGUCCAUUAUUCGAUCGAGUGCACCUCUUCUAUAGCAGAUUCUAGCCCAAUCAGCUAAAUUCGCUUGCUCUUUGGGUAAUCCUGGAAUUACAGGUGGCCUAGCACAUAAUACCUCCAAUAGAACAACUCCGAAUGAGUACACGUCAGAUUUUUCAGUGAGGUGUUGCCUACGAUAAUACUCUGGAUCUACAUAUCCAACACUACCCCUGACAACAGUGCUGACUUGCGUUUGGGACUGGCUAGUGGGACCCAUUCUUGACAAGUCAAAGUCAGAAACUUUAGCCACCCAGUUCUUCAUCUAUCAGUAUGUUCGUUGACUUGACGUCGCGGUGAAUGAUCGGGUGUUUCGCACCUGUAUGGAGAUGAUGCAGUCCAUGUGCAGCUCCGAUGCAGAUCUGUAGUCUUUGCUUCCAUGGAAGAGGAGGGUUUUUGGUUUUGUAGAGAUUAUCACGGAGAGUGCCGCGGUGCAUGAACUCGUAUACUAGAAUCAUCUCGCCUGGAUCAUCACAGUAUCCUAUUAGAGACACGAGAUGCGUGUGACGGAGCUUGGAAAGCAUCUGGAUUUCUGUUUUGAACUCGCGAGCUCCCUGUUUUGAUGAUGAAUGUAAUCGCUUGAUUGCGACAGUAAAGGCGCCAUCAUCGAUGGAUCCUUUGUAGACAUUNNNNNNNNNNNNNNNNNNNNNNNNNNNNNNNNNNNNNNNNNGGACAUCAAAAUUUAUGAGUGCUAUCCAUCGAUUAUUUUGAGCAAUAAUUCACUACUGACAACAGAAAUUAGUUCACUCGAGCUCUCUGUAGAUUGGUGCAGUAAAAUUAGAAAUUUAAGAUUUGAAAAUAUGUAAGUGUUUAAGGUUUUUUAAAUUAUGAACAAUUCCUUAAAAUUCAAUGGCUUAUUGUAUUCUUUAAAUCUUUUUCUUAGUUCAAAAUUUUUUUUCUUAUAGUUUUAAAUGAAUUUUUACUUGAUUUAAUUAAAAUUUUGAAGUGAUAUAAGAAUAAAUAUUAUGAAAUAAUUGGCUGAAAAAAAGUUAAAUAUUUGAUGUUCAUGCCAAUCGCAUAUGGAUAUUUACAUUAUUAUUCAAUUUAUCUCCUUGUAGAUUUAGUUUGAAGCAUAUAUAUUAAAGAUAAGAGAGGUUAUUUUCAUAUUAAAAGGAUAUAGAAAUACUUUCAAUAUGAAAAAACAUCUUAAUAUAUAUAUAUAUAUAUAUAUAUAUAUAUAUAUAUAUAUAUAUAUAUAUUUAUAUAUUNNNNNNNNNNNNNNNNNNNNNNNNNNNNNNNNNNNNNNNNNNNNNNNNNNNNNNNNNNNNNNNNNNNNNNNNNNNNNNNNNNNNNNNGGAAAAUUUUUAAUGGCCGGUCUAUUCUUGUACCAAUAAUGCAGAAGAAAAUGCCAUAGACUUGAAUGAGUCGGAGUGGAAAAAAAUGUGACAAGCAAUUUUCAUGAAGUCGCAUUCUUAGGCCCCCUGCUUUAGACCAAAGUUAGUGUUUAAUCACUCAUUAAUAUUAUAAAAAGUCAUUCAUUCAAAUACGGAGAAGGCAAGAGAAAAUGACGAACUCUCAUAAAAAAAAUUUUAUAAUAUAAUUUACGAAUCAAUCCACACUAAAAUCUUAUAGUAUUCGAUAAUAUAAUGUCUGAACUAGCUUUUAGAGGUUAAAGUAGCAUUUUGUGAAAAAUUAACUUAUGUAACGUUUGACUUUUAACAUUUCAUAAAAAUCUAUUCGAACAACUAAAAGUGAAAUAAGCUAAUUAGCUGAAUUUGAGAAAAAAAAAAACAGUGAAUGUAAUUAUCAAAAUUAUUCAAUCAAUCUCCAUAAAAUGUUAAGUAUUAGAGUAUUUAACGUUUUAUAAAAAGUGCUUAGUUAAUCUUUAAAAGCAACUGUAAAAGCUAUAUUACCCAAUGGCAGACUUAAUAGAGAUGAAAUUUUAAUUUAACUAAAACACUAAACAUUUAGGACUUUGAAUGUUGUUUGAAUUUAAUUUCCAUAUUUUCCAACUACUUAUAAAGGUUUAGGGGGGAUAGGAAAUUUGAAUUUUUGAGUAGAUUUUAAUUUUAUUUUGAAGAAAUAAUUAUUAAAAAUUAUUUUGAAUUAAAUUUAAGAAGUAGAAAGAAAGGGGAAAAAAGAAAGGAUAAAAAAUUUUGGUACAACUAUAUAUGUCUGGCAAAGCGCAUGUGAAUGUCAAAUGCACGAGGGAGAGCGACAGACCAAAAAUAGUGCCAACAUAGACUUCUUCUUCCUCUUCAUUUCUAAUAAAAUAAAAUCACUCUCUGUCAUUUGAUCAAACACAAGAUAAGCCAUGGAUGGAGAGAUGCUCAAAACGAAAUGGGUUGUCAUCGUUGCAAUUUAGAGCUGUGCAUCGUACACCUUCAACAUCUAAUUUUCCAUUCUCCAACCCAAUUAAGGCUUGCAACAAUAAAUAAACAUCACUCUUUCUGGUUAAAAUUCUUGAUUGGAAGUAUUCAAAAUCUAUAUAUCCAAGUGUGCUUUGAACGGGAACAAAUAUGAAGUAGAUACAGUUUUAAGUGCCCACCAAAAUGUUUGUGAAAAUUACUCAAUGAAUAAAAAUUUUUUUCUUUUAUUAUAUAUUACAUCAGUUGAAGCCUGUGCAUCAAAAUUAUCCCACUUGUCAUCUUUUUUUUCCAUCUCAUUGGGUGUGUGAGAUUCACGCUUUAUUUGGCCAUCAACGAGGUGCACAUUUAUUACUAAAAAUUGUAACUUUAAAGGUAGCAGUAUCUUCAAACUUAAAAGUGUCACAAAGUAACAUGUAAAUUUCCCAGGCAGAUUUACACGUUCCAUCAUUUGCCAGCUGUAAUCCUCUAUCCUUCCAUCUACCGUUGAAAACAAAUGACAUCUACUGCCGUGGUUAAUGAUGGAAUGAUGAUAAAUAAGGGUACUAUAGUCUUUUUAAAUAGUAAAAGAAGGGCCGAAAAGAGAAAGAGCACAAAAUCAUUGUUCCCGUGAUUUAGUGUAUAUAAAAAUCUUUGGCUCGCUGAGUCUUUUUCGGUUUUUCCGUAUGUUCCAACAAAAAGAUUUGAAAAUUAUAUAUCAAAAACUUGUGUUUAAGUCCACUUGUAAGCCUUCUUGGCUGUCAUUGUAGUGGAAAAAUAGACCUUACAAGUUGCAAACAAUGCAUAAAGAUAUUGCAGAUGCUUCUGAUCAUGUCAUCCGGAAGCACUGAAAAAUGAGCUCUACAUGUCCCUAUGUAACUUCCUUCCACUUUCUAUAAGUUCAUUGGAAAAGUCUGGACGGGCUCAUGUGUACGUUGAUAGUGAUUUUCGUAAAUAUACGAAAUCACAAUAAAUAAUAAAAAGUGAGUAGAGUAUCAUUUCCGCGAGGAUUGUAUACCAAGUACUAAAAUUAUAUUAACCUAUUAUUAUUUAAACGGCAAUAAGAGAAAUUAUUUUAAGAAAUUAACUUUAACAAAUAAAAGAGAAUGAAAAGAAAUAAAGCAAGGCAAUUUUGAGUAAAACAAAACAAGGAUUAAAAGCUACUAGGGAUUUUGAUUCACUUAAUUCUAUCCAAUUUAUUUUAUUAGUUUGAUAAUCAAUUUUAAUUGUUCAAGUAGGGAAAACAACCCUAAAAUCACUAACAAGCUCUCCCGAUUUAUUUUUAGCUAUUUUAACCCGGUCUAAUUACCUAUCUUCCAAUAGUGCAAUCAAACAUGAAUUAAAUCAUUAAGUUUUAUGGUUUGUUUAUGAAUUCAUAACCUAAGGUCAUUAACUUAUGAAAACUCCCCAUAAGUCAAACCAUAUAGCUUCCGCAUCAAGUUAUUAUUCUCAUGUGUGAUUAAUGAAAUAAAUCAAUCCAGUGGAGAAACUCUGCCUGGAAGCAUUAAGUUCAAUAAUAAAUUAUACUUUGAACAAAGAAAAGCAAAUUUAAUAUUAUAAAUUGUAAAAGAAAUUAAGCUACAUCAAAUCCCUAGUAUGAGAAUUUAGUUCGACAUAGUAAUUAAAUAAAACUCAAUUAAACUUGAGAAUAAUUCCAUAUUCAAUAUGAAUGAUGAAAAGUAAAAACAAGAUUAAGAGUUUAGAGAUAAAAACUAGUUAACAAAUAAUUCUGGACGGCUUCCUUGAAUCUUCACGCAAAUCUUGAGCAAUUGAAGUCUCGGAGAGAGAGAGAAAAACAAUAGAAAAAAGAUGGAAUAUACAAUGAAUGGAUUCCUAUGGCUAGUCUCUCUAUUUAUGUAGACUUUCUGGAAUAUCUUCGUUUUCGUUUAGGAAAGUGAAUUUUUAUUGAGGAAGAUAUCUUUUGGAGAUAGGAAACUGUUUAGACUUUGUAUUUUUUUCCAAUUAGGACUCUUCCAGCGCCUAGAUAAGAGUUAAGCUGGUUUCCUAUAAAAAUCCUACAAAAUUCCUCAAGAUCAAGUGAAAUAUGAUUAAAAGAAGCUUUACACAAAAAUAUAAAUAAAAAUAUAUAAAAACUAAUUAAAGUAAUUAAAAAUACUAAAAAUCCUAAUAAAAAUUAUAUUAAAAAUACUAUAAAAAUAACACAUAUCAUACACUUACCACUAAAUUAUACUUUUGCUUAUCUACUUAUUUUCUUGUUGAUACUAAUUGAAUGAGGAAUUGUUAAUGACAAUGAUAAUGACAAUAAAAUAUUAUUUUGAGCAAUAAAUAAUUCAAUAAUAAUCUAAACAAAUAACCAAUCAAGUGAUGAUCUGGUUAUUUUUUUAUUUACGUGAAAAAUGGAAGGUUUUAAGUUCGAGUCCUCUCGAUCAUAGUUUUAUAAAUAGUAAUUAUUCUGUAUUGAAGUUUAAUCCAAAAUUAAUGUAUAAUUUUUUUAAAAAAAGAUAAAAAAUAUAAAUAAUUUGAACUUUAUGAAUUGAUUUACACCAAUGUAUGUAUAUGUGUUAAACAAAUACAGAAAAAAGAGAGUUGAAUUAACUUAAAAUUAUUCUAGUGGAAGCACUGUCUGCAACCAUGGUCAUGUCUAAAAAUAAGAGCAUGAUGUUACUUUUGCCGCAUGUAUUCACUAUUGAGAGAGAUGAACUGGUUAGAAGAAAACAAAAUUCAACAGAAAAAUUCAACAGAAAAUUCAUUUAGUUAAUAAAAAUUAUUUUGCUAUUUUUUAUUCUUAACUCGUUAAGAUAUUAAUAAAAAUUUAUUUAAUGAAUGAGUAUAAAAAAAUAAUUAUUUAAAUAUAUAAAUUUAGAAAUCUUACAAACAUUUUAAAACAUUCAAAAAAGUAAUAACAAUCUAUUUUAGAAAUUCAAUGGUGAGUGUACGCAUCAAUUCUUAUACCAAUAAUGCAGAAGUAAAUGCCAUAGACGUGAAAGACUUGCAGUGGACAAGCAAUUUUCAUGAAUUCGCAUUCAUGGGUCUCCUGCGGUAGACCAAAUGAGUGGUGUCGUUGAUUAUAUAUAUGCUUACCUUUGUUUUUAUUUACCCAAUUGCAUAUACUUCUAAACUCAUUUAAACCACUGAAUCAGAAUAGUUCAAAUUGGCAACGAACCAAUCAUCAAUUGUAUGGUAAGCAACUUUUCGGGAAAAAUUUCCAGAGAAAAUUAUUGGUUAUUAAUUAGUACUCAUACUAUUUACAAAUUUUAAAUUUUUACACUGUGAUUAAGUAAACAAUAAAUUUUCUUAAAUUAUAGCAAAAAGUUUAUUAAUACGAUUAAGUUAUUGCAUAUAUCUAUAUAUAUAUAUAUGUGUGUGUGUUAUAUAUAUGUAUAAGGGUAAAAUUAAAAGAAUUUCAUUAAUUACUCGAAAAUACUCAUUUUGUCCCAAAAUAUAAGUCGUUUAGGAUUUUUGCACAAGGAUUAAGGAAUCAAUUAAUUCUCCUAAAAUUAUAACAAAACUAAGAGUAAUUUGACCAAAUUAUCAUUUAUCUCAAAACCGAUAGUUAUGUAGUUAUUAUAUAAGGAUAACAUUGAAAAAAUAUCAUUUAUUACCUUUUAAAAUACUUAAAAUGAGUUAUAUUUUGCGACAAAAUAAUUACUAAAAAACGACUUAUAUUUUAGGACAUAAAGGUAUUCUCAAAAAUAACUUAUAUAUAUAGGCGUAAAAAUUACUCUAAAAAGACUUAGGUAAUUACUUGGAUCUCUGAUUUUGCUAAAUACAUUAUUUCAUCCUUGUACUUUAGGGGUGGAGACAGUAUUAUAAGUGAUUGUGCUCCCAUAAAAAAUAUUUUGAAACUUUUUGAUGCACUAGGAGGUUCAAUGAGUAGACUGUAGGCUACAUAAUAAAAAUAUUUUAAACUUUUAGUGUAAUCAUUUUUUAAGAAUCAUAACUUAGUUUAUCCCACAAGUAAAAUUAUUUUUUGGUCUUCUGUUUAAUUAUUUCGGUGAUUCUCUUUUUUCUGUAUUGUACACCUUUAAAUUAAUAAUUUCUUUCAUCCAAAAAUCAAUUUUUUGUGUUUAACUACAGCAUUUGGAUGUAAGUGGGCAAUCUUCUAGUUCGGGUUUUAGCAUAUUGAAUUUGCUAAAAUUUUCCAGCAUUUAAAAACAAAUUAAUAAAAUAUUUUACUUUGCUGAUUAAAAAAAAUCUAAUUACCGGUUGAUAAACUUCUUAAGUCUCUUUAACUACUUUUAUUCGUUACCUUCUAACCCAAAAAUGACAAGAAAAAGUCCCAAAAAAUUGGAAAUAUCAGUUCCAAAAAUUUUACGCGUCAAUUUGGAGUAAGGAACCCACAACUGUUUCAUCACUAAAAGUGAUGUGAUUAGUUUUUCUGAUGCAGAAGGGUCUUGUUAGUUUUACUCCGCGAUGAAUAGCUCUUAUGACAGUUAAAGUAAGGAUCUUGUCUCCAUAGUUGCACAUAAAAUUAGCUUUGUAAUUUUGAGGUUGUUGAGAUCUAUCCUUCCAUGGUGUUGGGUUCUCCAAUGUGAUUUCCCGAAAUCAAUGAGAGUUGGGCUUUCCAGGGGGUAGAUGAUGUGGGCAUUUUAUGCACACAUUUUUUGGCCCAUAGUUCCUAUGGUACAGCAUCUAAAUGAUACAUCAUUUUGCCAAGUGGACCACAUUUUAUAAUCCUUGUCAUGUUUCUUUUGAAUAGGUGAAAAUAUAGAGUGCUUACAGCUGAAAAAGGACCAAAACGAGUAAAUCCAAGAAGCCAGGAACUAAGCUGCAGGUUAACAGAGGCACCCAAAAACAGCCAGUAGCUAUCCCUCAAGAUACGUCCCAAAAGGCUGUCAUUCAAAUGAGAAAGCUAAGCCCAUGCAUCAAGAAUACAGUAAUAAAAUUUCACACAUAUUAUUUUUUUGAUUAAAUAUUGUUACGGGAACAUUAUUUCCUUAAAUACUUAUCCUUUAAACACCAUCUUGGGAAAAAAAUUCAAAAACUUUAUCUAAUUUUAAAGGAAAAUUGAAAAUUUUUUUUAGAGCUUGGGGCCAUGGCUGCCUUUCAUUUCCUUCUCUCUGAUCCUGUCUGUCUUUAGAACUUUAAAUCACUCAAAGCUUCAAACUACAAAUAAUUUUGAUUCUACUUUUAACCCCAAAACAAGAAAAAUAAUGUUUAAUGAAUAAGUAUUAUAAUUGAAAUGUCUUAGAAAAUGUUUCUAACCACAAAUAUUUGAAAACAUACAUAGAGCAUUAAUUGCUAAUUAACAAUUGUUAAAAGCUGAAAACAAAAAAAAUAUAUCAGCCAAUCCUUGAGCCAAACACACCCGUAGUUGAACUACUUGUAUCAGAAUCAGUUGAUGAAGUUGAGUCUAGCUGAGGUCCGUCGGCAAUAUCAACACAUUGGGCAGGGAAAAAAGAUACAUAAGGAUGGACGAUUUCACCAUCAGGACUGAUUCCCAUAUUCUCAGCUUCCGCAUCGUCUUGCAGCUUCAGUGCAAACUCAAGUUCUUCCAUAACAUCUCUCAUAUUGGGCCGUUCAAUGCCUUUGCUAUGAACGCAACUGAAUGCGAUCUCCACAAAUUUUUUGAAACACCGUGGAGCUAUCUUCCCCUUCAAAUAAGGAUCAAUUAUUUGAUAAAUGUUUCCAUUUUGA